AUUGAACGCUGGCGGCAUGCUUUACACAUGCAAGUCGGACGGCAGCACAGAGAAGCUUGCUUCUUGGGUGGCGAGUGGCGAACGGGUGAGUAAUAUAUCGGAACGUACCGAGUAAUGGGGGAUAACUAAUCGAAAGAUUAGCUAAUACCGCAUAUUCUCUGAGGAGGAAAGCAGGGGACCUUCGGGCCUUGCGUUAUUCGAGCGGCCGAUAUCUGAUUGGCUAGUUGGUGGGGUAAAGGCCUACCAAGGCGACGAUCAGUAGCGGGUCUGAGAGGAUGAUCCGCCACACUGGGACUGAGACACGGCCCAGACUCCUACGGGAGGCAGCAGUGGGGAAUUUUGGACAAUGGGCGCAAGCCUGAUCCAGCCAUGCCGCGUGUCUGAAGAAGGCCUUCGGGUUGUAAAGGACUUUUGUCAGGGAAGAAAAGGCUGUUGCUAAUAUCGACAGCUGAUGACGGUACCUGAAGAAUAAGCACCGGCUAACUACGUG
rnacentral:rRNA from 1 species